CUGGAUGGCUGCGCACGACCCCGCCCGCUCCCGUGACGCAGCGCAUCUCUUUACGCGCAGAUGCUGGAGUCGAAGCGACAGGCGCGCACAUCUCUUAGGGGCUGAGCGCAUCCACUACCGGACACGGUAGAGGGAAGAUCAGCCGGUGUGCAUCCGACAGGGAUCCCCCGGACAGCGGGGUAGGAUGCUCAGAACGAGUCGCUUCGUGGGCAGCAGUACUUGAAGAGCUGCGGUCCAUCCACUGGAGCGCUUUAAGACUGAUCUCGAAUCAAUUCCUCUGGCUUUUUUAAGAAACACCACCGUCCAGUUUAGUAUCUAGAACCAGUUUGAGGGUAGAUCGGGGUUUGGCUUGGACACGAUGUGGAAGUCCGGGACACUACUGCUACUGUCGGUGCUGUGGGCGUCCGGUGAACUCCAGCAGGAGACAGAGCCGCGGAGGCUACCACCUCCGGGAAAGUUGGAUUUUGGUUAUGUGCCUGCGGGAGUUUACGAGACAUUGGCCCAUUACGAACCCGGACCCAUAGGGAUCCUCUUCCACUUGGUGCACGCUUUCCUGCAUGCGGUGCAACCCAACGCUUUCCCCCACGAUCUUAUUGUGAAGCUGGCAAAGGACAAGUUUGGAGCCAUUCAAACAGAAUAUCAAAAGCCAGAGAACAUAGUGCUGACCCUGCAGGCCAUCUACUAUGAGAUAGGCUUCCUCAUAUGUGCAGCGGUGGGUCUACUCUUCGCCAUCCUCAUGCCCGUUGUGGGGCUCUUCUUCUGCAUGUGCCGCUGCUGCGACAACUGCGGUGGUGAGAUGCACCAACGCCAGAGGAAGAACGCGGACUGCCGGCGCGGCCUGCUGGGAACAUUGCUCUUCUCCACCUCGCUGGUCAUCACGAUUGGAGUUCUGUGUGCGUAUGCAGCCAACCAGAACCUGAGCUCUCAGGUGAAGAACAUACGCCGUCUGGUUAACAGCAACAUGAGGGACCUGCAUACCUUUGCUAAUGACACACCAAUGCAAAUUGAUUACCUAAUAUCCCAAUACGCCACCGUCAAGAACAAAGUCAACUAUGACCUAGAUAACAUAGGUCCAUUACUCGGGGGAAGGAUACAUGUACGGUUAGAUAAAGAGGUCCAUCCUGCUUUAAACCAAGUGCUUAAUAUGGCUGGAGCCAUGAGGGAAACCAAGGAGGCCCUGGAGAACAUCAGUGUAUCUCUGGUGGUCUUACAGGAAGGAGCCGGAAAACUUCAUUUCAACUUGAGCCAAGUCUGCGACAGCAUCAACCGCACCCUCGAUGACCCCGGGUGUCAUGACGAGGAAUCGGACGCCACCACGGCUCAGCUUUGUCGCAGCAUCCGCCAGUCCCUGUCCCAGCUGCAGAUCAGUGCAAAUUUCACCCGGCUUCCUAAUGUGAACCCUCAGCUGGAAAAGAUGAAAAAUGUAGUGAAAACAGAUCUCAGCUCUGUCGUCCACAGGGGUUUUUCCUCUUUGAAUGACACACCGCACAUUGUGAUUGAACAGACAAGAAGCGUUGUCAACAGUGUCCAGAAUUUAGUGGACAGUGUCGGCAACAACAUCAGUAGCUUCUCCAAAGCUUUCCCUUUGCAGACCUGCUUGUCUAACUUCACCAUCUUCAUCAGCCAUGCACACGCCAAAAUCGAAGACUACUAUCCUGAAGUUGAUAAAAUGGACUUCUACAGAUGGAUCGGCUGUAUCGCUCUGUGCUGCAUGGUGGUUCUGGUUUUGGCCUUUAACUAUUUGGGCCUUCUGUGCGGCACUCUGGGAUACGACAAGCAUGCCUCACCAACGACACGAGGAUGUAUCUCCAAUACAGGAGGAACACUGCUGAUGGCCGGUGUUGGAUUUAGCUUCAUUUUCUCCUGGAUGCUUAUGGGAGUGUUGACCACCAUCUUUCUGGCAGGAGGAAACAUGGAGAAACUUCUUUGUGAGCCAUUUCACACCAAAGAACUUUUCAAGGUCGUUGACACCCCAUACUUGAUCAACCCAGAGUGGAAGAAUUUCAUUCCAGGCUACAUGUACAAUGACUCUGAACUGGAGCUGACAUCGGAAAGCUUGUACAGUACUUGCAAACAGAACAAAGGCAUCUACUCUGCGCUGCGUCUGGAUAAAGUCUUCAACAUCUCCUCGUUCCUGAACACCACAGUGUUCACUAAGGAUGUGGUGCGUCAGCUGGAGAACUUUCGGAUUGACCUGAGAACGAUAAUCCUGUUAGAAGCAGAGGGGAAGCAGAACCUCCUAGAUUUCUCUGAAGCUGGCUUAUCAGAGAUCAACUACGCUGACUACCUUGACGAGGUGCAUAAAGGAGUCACUGUGGUGGAUGUUCUCUCAUUCGCCAAAGAGCUGGAGUCCCAGACAGACCUGAUGCCCAGGGGACCUCUGCAGGCAGCUCUGAAAGGCCAUGUGGCCACUCUGCAGCGGAUCCACAGACAACAGAUCACUCCAAUGGAGCAGGCCAUGAAAUAUGUUAGAGCAAGGAGUGCAUUGAACCAGAGUAUGAGAUUCCUGGAGAGGACAGCUUCUGACCUCCCGAACAAAGUCACAGAUGUUCUUGAGGCCAUUGAAGCUGCUCAGCACCUCAUCUCCCAGAAUGCAACACUUUUAAUCAAUCAGGAAACAAGAAAAUACUCAGCAACCAUUAUUGGCUAUUUCAAUCAGUACAUAGAAUGGGUUAAAACAUCAUUGGCUUUGGAGGUUGCACCAUGCAAGCCCUUCAGCAACAUCUUGGAUACGGCGCAGAUCAUGACCUGCAGUUUCCUGGUGGAUUCUAUGAACACUUUCUGGAUGGGUCUGGGCUGCAGCACAUUAUUCUUGCUCCCAAGCGUAAUACUAGCUGUGAAACUAGCCAAGUACUACCGCAGGAUGGACACAGAGGAUGUUUAUGAUGACUCCUCUGUUUCUGGGACUUGGCAUUUUACUUUGUGAUAACCAUUCCUACUAUUUCCAUCAUGUCAUAUUUUUCAUUUUAUUCAUUCUUCUUUGUCAAGCACUUGGCACUUUACAAAGAAAAGACACUGAUAAAUUAGUCAAUUCUUAUUUCUUCUUCAUGGGCCUUUUUCAUGUUCAGACUCUGUGGACUCAUUGCUUUAUCUACAGUAGUAGUAAUUGUAAUAUCUCAGCUGAUCAACUGCAUCUCCCUCUGUACAAUCAGUGCUGGAUUGCACAGAAGGACGUCUGAUGCAUUUCUUUUGCUGAAAAUCUCAAUAACAUUUUUAUGUUCCUGUUUUCUGUGUAUCUCCAUAGCGUUGAGACAAUUCCCAUGAAAAAGUAAGACGUUCUUCCCCAACCUCCUUUUCAUUUUAACUUCUCUCACUCUGUGCUUUUUUCCCCAAGUAAUGUAUAUAGAAAGUUGUUUACUAAAUUCUUGGUGCUCGUUUGCAUUUUUGAGCUUCAAAAUUGCUCAUGUGGGUGAACGAUGUGGCUUUUUGUCAUGUGCUAUGUUUAAGAAGUGCCCCUUACAGUACCUUUCAUGAAGGGCUCUUGCAAUCAUUCAAGUGUUUUUUGUAAAAAGAAAUUGUGUAAAUAAAACACUAAGGUUUAUACUCAGAACAUAUUCAUCUCCUGAUAUUGUUUAAAGAUUUAUCCACAUAUAAAGGAAACAUUUUUAUUCAGCAUGUCGCAUUUCUCAUUUUUCAUUCCAUUUUUGUUCACGAUGUUUUAUUUUCAGUAUGGAAAUUGGUAAUAAUGGUUAUCAUAGUGAGAGUUCACAAGGUAUUCCUAAUCCUAUGAUGACAAGGUAAACUUCCUAUUUAUCCUGCUAACUGCAUGUCAUGGUGGAGGUGGAUGCAUGCCUGGGAAGUUGGUUUUAUAUAUAAUAUGGCUGAACACAGUGCAUGCUCGCAGAGGGAGUCAUUUCAAGACACGCAAAUGCAUAAGUGGGUGUGAUAUUGUAGCAGUGGUAGCUUUUAUUAGAAACAAUCCGGAAUCAAUUUUUUUGGUGUCCAUGAUAAAAAGUGCUUUAAAAUGAAUUUCAGCAGUGGUUUAACAUUUGGGGUGGAGUGUGGGAUUUGUUGAUGAGCAUCAGAUCAUAGCCCCACUGUUUUCUUUGAGGCUGAAAUAUAUAAAUAUAAAGAACGAUUUCUGUAUUCUGUCAACUUGAAGACUGGGGAUUAUUGGAAAACAAAUACUAAUAAAGGUUUGUCAUCUGUUAGAAGUGCCAUUUUAAAUAUCACAACUUAAAGAAAUGUAAUUGCAAUUUAUAUGUAGUCAAAAUACUUGCUUAUCACAGUGAACUACAGGUGAGUAUUAGAAAAAUAAGAGCUGGAACAUCUUGAUGGAGAAAAAGAAGGAGCACAUUUUGUUACUAUAUAACAAAAAUUAUAGUCUUUACUCUGAGGAAAACUAUACCCUCACUUAAACUCUCUUUCAUCAAAGAGAAAUUAGGGUUUCAUUUCCCAAUAAUCAGUCUGACUCUUCCAACAACUAUAGGAGCCUUGAGGCUGAUGAAUCUGUCUGCUACCACUACUUCACUGUCAUGUUGUAAAUGUUCUGCUUGGUGGUUUUGAGGGAAUCUACCAUAUUACUAACCAACUGCUUUCUUUCUGACGCUGGGAAGUUCCUGUGGAAUGAAAUGAAACCUUCUCCUGUUUCCUCUCGUUUAGUGUCGGCCAAAAUCCGAUGAAUGUACACCUGAUCAUUUUGUUCAGAGAGAGGCAAGCAUGUUGAGCUUUACUGUGUCCCUGGAUGUGUUGCUAGUUUUGAUUUUCUUUUCUGAAUCUAACCAGAUGCUUAACUGCGUGUUUUAUCUUUUUAAGUUGCAUUUGGAUGCAGAUGAGUUUGCACCAACCAACAAGAUAAACACAGAGAGUAAAACAUCUAAAUGAGGACUUGCUCUGACUUGUUGCGGUUUAAAAAAAUAGGAGUUUCAUUUCCAGUUUGAACUUGCAAGAUUAAUACAACUUUUUAUUAAACCUUAUCUUUCUAUUUGAGUUGCAUUAAGCUUUUGGGAUGAAACUCACGCGUCAAUAGGAGUAUUACAUAAUUUAAAACCUGUUCUAAUUGAUCAACACUAAACUACUCUGUUGCACAGUAAGCUACUCAGAGAAUGUUUUGCUCUCUGUUGUAUGAACUGCUCACCCUUCUCCGCUUGCCACCAAAAGGAAGUGGAUGUAAAAUGUUGAGUCUGUCUGGUAACGAUUUUCCCUGUGUGUGCGUGUUUGUUCCUGUGAUGGUAGCGUCCCAACAUAUGACACAAUGAACAGGUUUCCACGGGCCUCGGCUCCUCCGAGGCACAUCGACUGGUGAGAGUCAGCUCUAGCUUGGCUCCUGAAAGGUACUGGUAACACAAAACGACAACUGUCUCUCUAACACCGAUUUCCUCACACCUCUCCUCACAGCUGUCCUGCUGAGUCAGUGAUCAUCUGUUUUAAAUCUUAUAUUGCUAAUGUGCUAACACUUUUAACACCUGUUCACAGCUUGUUUUAGUGCUUUUCUGCUUGCUGAAAAACCAUCAUGGUGAGAAUGACUAAAUUUACUGUAGAUGCUCGUGACUCAGUGUUUUAGAGAGAAGAAACCUUCAAUUUUAUUUUUAUUUAUAUUUAGGAUAAUAUCAUGCAGUUUAAAAAACUUUCUCUAACGUGUCUACUGGCUCUUGUGAGUGGUUGUGUUCAGGUAGUGCGUGAGAUAAGUGAAACCCUUUAAUAUGUAGUUACCUCCACCUAACAGCAUCCUCCACGUUGAAUAAAACCACUGGAAAAGUUGUGUAAUGCCUUAAAAAAUAGUAAUUUUUGUAGUAUGUCUUACAGCAGCAUCAUCUCACAAUGACAAUAAAAUAGAACAAAAAAUCGAACCUUUAAUUUUAAUACAUUUAGUCAGAGAGGAAUGCUGCAGCAUUGUUAUUUUCUUAUAGAUUAUUGCAACUACCUUGAAAGACCUUUUACAUGUCUUCAGAAGGGUCACGAAUGUAUUAGUUUCCACUGGUGUUGAAAGAAUUAUUUAUUAUUAUUAUUUUUGUGAAAUGACAAUUUGACCAAUUCUGAAUUUUGUGAAGAUCUUUGAUCUCUGAGACUGCAGAGAUACAUUACAAAUUUUCAUUAGAAUCUAAGGAACUGCAAUAAAAGCUUAACUUAUUUUAAGGAUAUUUUUGUUUUGAAAUAUUUUCUUGCAUUGUAAUAUCUAAAGUAUCUUUCUCUGCUAUUUGCCCUUGUAGUGCCCUUGACAACUGGAACUAAACGUCAUGCUCACUUGAGGAGUCUCAAAAUACGCUGGUUUCUUCACUUCAAAAGAAGAACACGGAAGGUCCUGCUUGUUCAAUGAUGCAGAUCAAAUUCUCCAGUUUGGUUUCUGCCGGCAGGGCGCUCACCUUAUCAGCCCUCAGCAUCAAUCUGAGCCAGGUUUCAUCUACAUUUUCCAGGACUGUUGUGUCUGUGUUUACAUUUGUUUGGACACAAAACCAAGCUGAAAAAGCCCUUGAGAGGACAUAACAUUGACUGUUGUGUUUGCUCGUUUUUAUGAACUUUGUGCUCAAGAAAAGAGAAGCUGGAGAAAGUUAUAUUUUCUUCCUGCAGUUAAAAAGGGUGUUGCACUUUCAAAGUGAGUGUCAAAAGACAGGUUUCAUAAAGAUCUGAUUGUUUUGUUGAAAAAAAUGCAUCCUUUUUAACUGAAACACAAGUGAGCUCAUGGAUGUGAGAUAUUUUAUCUGUUGAGAAAAGGCUUGUGUGAACAGUGGUAUAACGACGUGUGGAGAGAAUUUGUAAGAAAACGAAGCAUGACUUUUUUUUAUAGCUGUUUACAAUAUUUUCAUACAUGUUGGUCUUGUUAAUUUUAGGUGGCUAUGGAUCAAUUUCCCUCUUUGACAAUUCAUAACCUCAUUCAAAUUUAGCCAUUUUGUCCCCAAAUUCUUCAAUAUCUUACCUAUAAAUCACACUACUUGUAUCCUGUUGUUCAAAUCUCAGGAAUAGUUCAAUAACAAAGAUACAAUUUUAUUUCUUAAAAAAAUUAUAUUGCACCCUUUUUUCAUUGGUUUUGACUCUGAUAUCUGUUUGAACCUGUCCCAUUGGAGUCACAUGACAAAAAAGAUUUUUUACAGUAGAAGCAAAAUACCAAAAAUGACUUUAAUUCAAUGGUCAAAUUGGGUAUGAAAUGUCCCCUGACUGAAUUUUGGUAUGCAACAUCCAAUGACAGAUGUUGCAUACCAAAAUUUGUUGCAUAACAACAACAGAUGUUGCUGUUGUUGGUAUGCAAUAACUAUUCAGUGUGAAAAAGGCAAAACUGGAAAAGUAUGAAAUGGCAAAGGGGCAACAUGACCCACCUGUAUGUGAGAAUCACUAAAGAGGACUGUCUGCCUUUGAGAUGUUUUACCAUAACGUUACAGUUAAAAAAGGCCAUAUCACUAUGUUAAAUAUAAACAAUCUAGGAACUGGCAGCAUUAAAAUGCCCUUUCUGUACCAUUUAAACUUGUGUCAGGUGUUAACAUUUAGCAUUAUUUGUAAUUCAGAGUGGUAAGUUGUUCUAAAGCUUCUACUUGGAGUUUUAAAUACCAAAUCUCAGAAUUAUUUUGAAGAGUGGGUUUAGAAAAAAAAACACAAAUUCUUGAAGCAAGGGACCCAUAUGAUCAGUCAUCUUCCUUUGCUAUGGUAAAAAAAGCCCCAUCACAACCACACCGUAACACCAAAUGACAAAUUCUUACCAAAUGCAUAGCUGAUGUGUUUUGGUUGAACUAUCCAUAUAAAUAUAACAGUACAGUUGGAGAAUAAUAGUAAAAAUAACAUCUACUUCUAUUUCCUCUAUGUACCACAUGCGUUUAUUUUCAGGUCUUUCCUGCUUUAUGGUACUCAUAAUUUUAAAGUGGAAAGUUAACUCAAGCCAAAUCCCAUAUUUUUAAAUAGUCUUUCUGUGGCACACUUUUUGCCCUUCGCCUGCUUUUUUGUUAAACAGUACUUCUGAAUAUAUGGAACUUUUGAAUGUGUUCAUUCAUUAAUCACUGUUAUAUGUAGAGGUUGAGUGAGAAAUAUGCUGAUAUUGUUACAUCAGGGAGGCCAAUCAACAUAUCCUAUAUCUCAUAUUUCUAUAUAGAUGCUUUCUCCAGUGAGAGCUUAGACAAUCAAUUUAUGGGACAAAUGAGCACCAUCAAUCAGAUCGUUAAAAGAAGUAUUUUUCAUGGUUUGCACAGAUCUGCUUUAUGUGGACUGUGAAAAAAGCAAUACCUGCCUUAGCAACCAAAAUUUGGAUUUUGUUCGUCACUGUCAAUGCACAAUAACUAUAAACAUUUACCAUGUAGUAGAUUAUAUAAUAUGCAUAUAUGAAGACUAACAAAAGUCAGUUUUUAUGUGAAUCAAAAAAAAUUAUAUAUAUAUUUUUAAACUGUAAUGGUAAAAGCUGGUCUAAAUUUAAUACUUUUUCCAUAAUUUCUAUAUUACAUUUGUUUUAUACUCCCAAUAAAUCCGUUUUAGAUUCAAGUUUGAUAUUGUUUUUAAAAGACAAGCCCAUGGGCUUGAAUAAAACCAAACAAAAACAAUGUGUCAAUUAAGAAGUCGCUAAAGAGAGUACUAACAUUUAACAACUUUUAAUUAGGUUACCAUGACAAGGAUUAAAAAUUAACCCAUUUUUGUAGAUUUUUGUGCACAUCUGACUUCUAUAAAGCCUGUAGUUGUAAUUUGCUGUAAUUUGCAGUAGAAGUACUGACAAUAUUUACCAAUGGUUUACAAGUUAUGCUCUGCUACACUGACUUUACACACUAUUUUCAAUCAUUUUAUUUCUCCAAAGGAAACACUGACUGCCAUGUUAAAAUGUCCCAGCUGUGCUUUUCCAUAAUGUGAACUCAUUGGCUCUGUCUCUUCCCAGCAUUCUCUUUUUUUGCUUGCUUCAUUUACAAACUUAGUUUUCCUCAAGGUGGACAUUUUUAGGUGAUCGGUGUGCUCAUGUUGACUAUCACAGUUUUACUCCUUGCUGGAGUCUGGUAACGCAUUUAUGGGGACAAAUUCACAACUUAAGUGCUUAAACUAGGUAUAUAUGACAGCUUUGGGUUGAUAGGAUGAAUGGGUUGCUGGUUUGAAAUGUGAUGCUGAACAGUUGGGAGAUGAUGGAUCCAGGAAGAUGCUUGUUUUUUAUGUGGAUAUUAAAAAAAAGUGUAUAAAUUGUGAAUAAACUCUCCAGUUCAAGUUA